CGCAAGUCUGAUGCAGCAAUGCCGCGUGGGUGAAGAAGGCCUUCGGGUUGUAAAGCCCUUUUGUACGGGAAGAAAGCGUUCGGGUUAAUACCCUGGGUGGAUGACGGUACCGUAAGAAUAAGCACCGGCUAGCUUCGUGCCAGCAGCCGCGAUAAUA
rnacentral:rRNA from 1 species